rnacentral:rRNA from 1 species
UAGGGAAUCUUCCGCAAUGGACGCAAGUCUGACGGAGCAACGCCGCGUGAGUGAAGAAGGAUUUCGGUUCGUAAAACUCUGUUGUUAGAGAAGAACAGCGCAUAGAGUAACUGUUAUGCGUGUGACGGUAUCUAACCAGAAAGCCACGGCUAACUACGUGCCAGCAGCCGCGCUAAUACGUAGGUGGCAAGCGUUGUCCGGAUUUAUUGGGCGUAAAGCGAGCGCAGGCGGUCAAUUAAGUCUGAUGUGAAAGCCACCGGCUCAACCGGAGAGGGUCAUUGGAAACUGGUUGACUUGAGUGCAGAAGAGGAAGGUGGAAUUCCAUGUGUAGCGGUGAAAUGCGUAGAUAUAUGGAGGAACACCAGUGGCGAAGGCGACUCUCUGGUCUGUAACUGACGCUGAGGCUCGAAAGCGUGGGUAGCAAACAGG